CACGGAAGUCUCAUUCCGGGGAAAUUCAAUCUAAAAAUAAAUCGGUCUAAGAAAACCCCGUGACAAGAAUAUAAUGGUGUUCUAUGCUCCUACUCAUCGGCUCCUAAUAAGAGUUGAA